rnacentral:rRNA from 1 species
UGCCUAAUACAUGCAAGUCGAGCGGUAAGGCUUUCACAGUUUACUCAACCCGAAGACACAGAGGGUACCUCUGGUCAACGAAGGGUAGAGCGCAGAUGCUAACAGGUCCCUCGGGACAAAAGGAGCAACGCGCGUUGAGUAAAGCGUGAAAGUACACGAGCGGCGGACGGCAGAGUAACACGUAGGAAUGUACCCCAAACUGAGGGAUAAGCACCAGAAAUGGUGUCUAAUACCGCAUGUGAUCUUCGGAUUAAAGCUACGGCGGUUUGGGAACAGCCUGCGCAUGAUUAGCUUGUUGGUGAGGUAAUGGCUCACCAAGGCGACGAUCAUUAGCUGGUCUGAGAGGAUGAUCAGCCUGACUGGAACUGAGAACGGUCCAGACUCCUACGGGAGGCAGCAGUAGGGAAUUUUCCACAAUGGGGGCAACCCUGAUGGAGCAACGCCGCGUGCAGGAUGAAGGCUCUAGGGUCGUAAACUGCUUUUAUCUGUGAAGAUUAUGACGGUAGCAGAUGAAUAAGGAUCGGCUAACUCCGUGCCAGCAGCCGCGGUCAUACGGAGGAUCCAAGCGUUAU